UCCGUAGGGGGCAAGCGUUGUCCGGAUUUAUUGGGCGUAAAGAGCGUGUAGGCGGCUUUGCAAGUCCGUUGUGAAAACCCGAGGCUCAACCUCGGGACGUCGGCGGAAACCAUCUGGCUAGAGUUCGGGAGAGGAGAGUGGAAUUCCCGGUGUAGCGGUGAAAUGCGCAGAUAUCGGGAAGAACACCCGUGGCGAAGGCGGCUCUCUGGAACGAUACUGACGCUGAGACGCGAAAACGUGGGGAGCGAACAGG
rnacentral:rRNA from 1 species